rnacentral:tRNA from 1 species
GCCCGGGUGGCGAAAUCGGCAGACGCGACGGACUUAAAAUCCGUUACCCGCAAGGGUGUGUGGGUUCAACUCCCACCCCGGGCA